rnacentral:rRNA from 1 species
UAGUCCACGCCGUAAACGAUGUCUACUAGCCGUUGGGAGACUUGAUCUCUUAGUGGCGCAGUUAGCGCGAUAAGUAGACCGCCUGGGGAGUACGGCCGCAAGGUUAAAACUCAAAUGAAUUGACGGGGGCCCGCACAAGCGGUGGAGCAUGUGGUUUAAUUCGACGCAACGCGAAGAACCUUACCAGGUCUUGACAUCCUGCGAACUUUCUGGAGAUAGAUUGGUGCCUUCGGGAACUCUGAGACAGGUGCUGCAUGGCUGUCGUCAGCUCGUGUUGUGAAAUGUUGGGUUAAGUCCCGUAACGAGCGCAACCCUUGUCCUUAUUUGCCAGCGAGUAAUGUCGGGAACUCUAAGGAGACUGCCGGUGACAAACCGGAGGAAGGUGGGGACGACGUCAAGUCAUCAUGGCCCUUACGUGUAGGGCUACACACGUGCUACAAUGGCAAGUACAGAGGGCUGCGAACCAGCGAUGGUAAGCUAAUCCCAGAAAACUUGUCGUAGUCCGGAUUGG